ACUCCUACGGGAGGCAGCAGUGGGGAAUAUUGCACAAUGGGCGCAAGCCUGAUGCAGCCAUGCCGCGUGUAUGAAGAAGGCCUUCGGGUUGUAAAGUACUUUCAGCAGUGAGGAAGGUGGAUGUCGUUAAUAGCGUAUUCAUUGAUCGAUUUAGCUUGCAGAAGAAGACACCGCGUAACUCCGUGCCAGCAGCCGCGGUAAUACGGAGGGUGCGAGCGUUAAUCGGAAUUACUGGGCGUAAAGCGCAUGCAGGUGGUUUGUUAAGUCAGAUGUGAAAGCCCGGGGCUCAACCUCGGAAUAGCAUUUGAAACUGGCAGACUAGAGUACUGUAGAGGGGGUAGAAUUUCAGGUGUAGCGGUGAAAUGCGUAGAGAUCUGAAGGAAUACCGGUGGCGAAGGCGGCCCCCUGGACAGAUACUGACACUCAGAUGCGAAAGCGUGGGGAGCAAACAGGAUUAGAUACCCUGGUAGCUACG
rnacentral:rRNA from 1 species